GUACUCUACUGUAUUCUGUUUAUAUAUUAUUAUUUUCUUCCACUCAGUAAUUAUUGACAGUGACGAGGAGGAAGAGGAGGAAGAGGAGGAGGAGAAGCCCUCUCCCCAACUUGGCCCUACACUGGAACAGGCCGCCGAGGAGGAGGAGGAUGAUGAUGAGGCGCAAUUUAGUGAUGACGAGCCUGAAUACAUUUUUG